ACGCUGGCGGCGUGCCUAAUACAUGCAAGUCGAACGGUCUUUUCUAUGGAAGCUUGCUUCCACUGAGAAGAUAGUGGCGAACGGGUGAGUAACACGUGGGUAACCUGCCCAUAAGAGGGGGAUAACAUCCGGAAACGGGUGCUAAUACCGCAUAGUUUUCUUGAUCGCAUGAUCGGGAAAGGAAAGACGGCCUUUGUGCUGUCGCUUAUGGAUGGACCCGCGGCGUAUUAGUUAGUUGGUGAGGUAACGGCUCACCAAGACGAUGAUACGUAGCCGACCUGAGAGGAUGAUCGGCCACAUUGGGACUGAGACACGGCCCAAACUCCUACGGGAGGCAGCAGUAGGGAAUCUUCCGCAAUGGACGAAAGUCUGACGGAGCAACGCCGCGUGAGUGAAGAAAGGUUUUCGGAUCGUAAAACUCUGUUGUCAGAGAAGAACAAGUUGGAGAGUAACUGCUCCAGCCUUGACGGUAUCUGACCAGAAAGCCACGGCUAACUACGUGCCAGCAGCGGC
rnacentral:rRNA from 1 species